rnacentral:lncRNA from 1 species
GAUUUUGAGUGAUUUGAAUAUGAAGUAACUUUGUAAGAGCUUUACAAAGUCAUAGUUUUUUUGGAUGAUUGUAGAAUUUAUAAAAUAUAAAAGAUAAUACAUUUUGAAAAAUUUCAUAAGUUUAGUAAUAGAUCUACACUUCAAAAUUUAAGGACUUUUGUAAAUAGUUGUUUAAAGUGUAUGUUGUAAGUUUGAGCUUGAUUGAAUAAUUGAAUUGAAGAUUAUUGAAUUUCAAGUAGGUUGAGGUCUCAAAAAUUAGACUUUGAAAGGUAGUUAGGAUUUCUAAGUUCUUUAGCAAUCCACUAGUUUGAUUAGAGUGAAAUUUAUGUAUAAAGAUAAUAGACUUGAUUUGCUAUACACAUCUGAAAUUUAAAAAUAAUUAAUUAGUUUCAAAAAGAGAUAUUGGCAUUGGAAUUUUAACAUUUAGAUUGGAAUAUGAGGCUGGCCUAUACCUGAGCAGGUUUUAGGAUUUUUUAUUCAUUUUUUAAGUACAAUUGUGAGUCCCACAAAUUGAUCUUAAUUAGUGGAUUAAUUAAAAACAUAGUUUUAAGUUAUUCAAUUAUACAAAUAUUAAGAGUAGAGAGUUUUUUUUUACUAUUUGAGUAUUUAUUAUAAUUUAGAAGUAUUUAUAAGUUGCAAAAGUGUUAUUAGAAGAAAAGUUAUAAAAAUGGAGUCUUAGUAAGUCUUAGAGGCAAUUAUCUUAGUUAGUUUAGUAUUUUUUUUAUUGUUAAGUAUUAAGAGUUAGUUAUUGAAACCAAUAUCUUCAUUGG